CCUACGGGUGGCAGCAGUGAGGAAUAUUUGUCAAUGGGCGCGAGCCUGAACCAGCCAAGUAGCGUGAAGGAUGACUGCCCUACGGGUUGUAAACUUCUUUUAUAAAGGAAUAAAGUGAGGCACGUGUGCCUUUUUGUAUGUACUUUAUGAAUAAGGAUAGGCCAACUCCGUGCCAGCAGCCGCGGUGAUACGGAGGAUCCGAGCGUUUUCCGGAUUUUUUGGGUUUAAAGGGAGCGUAGAUGGGUUGUUAAGUCAGUUGUGAAAGUUUGCGGCUCAACCGUCAAAUUGCAAUUGAUACUGGCGGUCUUGAGUACAGUUGAGGUAGGCGGAAUUCGUGGUGUAGCGGUGAAAUGCUUAGAUAUCACGAAGAACUCCGAUUGCGAAGGCAGCUUACUAAACUGCCACUGACAUUGAUGCUCGAAAGUGUGGGUAUCAAACAGGAUUAGAUACCCGAGUAGUC
rnacentral:rRNA from 1 species